UGGGGAAUUUUGGACAAUGGGGGCAACCCUGAUCCAGCCAUGCCGCGUGCGGGAAGAAGGCCUUCGGGUUGUAAACCGCUUUUGUCAGGGAAGAAAUCUCUUGGGCUAAUACCUCAGAAGGAUGACGGUACCUGAAGAAUAAGCACCGGCUAACUACGUGCCAGCAGCCGCGGUAAUACGUAGGGUGCAAGCGUUAAUCGGAAUUACUGGGCGUAAAGCGUGCGCAGGCGGUUAUGCAAGACAGGUGUGAAAUCCCCGGGCUUAACCUGGGAACUGCACUUGUGACUGCAUAGCUGGAGUACGGCAGAGGGGGAUGGAAUUCCGCGUGUAGCAGUGAAAUGCGUAGAUAUGCGGAGGAACACCGAUGGCGAAGGCAGUCCCCUGGGCCUGUACUGACACUCAAGUGCGAAAGCGUGGGGAGCGAAACAGGAUUAGAUACCCACGUAGUCCCUGAGCGGGCUGGCAAGGCGCAU
rnacentral:rRNA from 1 species